rnacentral:tRNA from 1 species
GUAUUCUUAGCUUAAUGGAUAGAGUAUCAACCUUCUAAGUUGAAUGUUGCAGGUUCAAGUCCUGUAGGAUACA